UGUGAGGAGGGCGGCCGCCUCUUGGAGGAACAGAAUGACACGGCUUCCCCUCCCUGGCUCAGUUAUGGAAUGUGAGGGCUGGGAAAGUGUGUGGGAAGCCAGAGGUCCCUCCCUCGUAGCACAGAGGAAAUGAUACGGGCUGUGGAGAAGGCUCCAGAAAUGGGCAUGUCAGAGGCUCUGGGGUUGGCUCCACAGCCCUGGGACAGCGCAGUCUGAGGGGUUCUCUCGGCUCUAACUCUCCCCUUUCCUUCUUAUGGCUGCCCCAUCACCGCUGCUCCUCCGGACACUGAUGCUUGCUUCCCAGAACUAGGAGACUCCACCAUUACAGGCAGCUACCAACAGGUGCCAGCAAGUCCUUCCUCUGCACCUGCAGAAGCAGCAACAGAAAAGACACAAGUGGAAGAGGAAGUGAAAACAAGGAAGCCCAAGAAGAAAACCAGGAAGUCCAGGAAGAAUGCCUAGUGGAAUAUCCUGAACUAUUGGGACAUUUUUAAUAUAUUUUAGAGACUUCUGAAGGACGAUAUUGAUGAUGAAAUAUCUUACAAAGAUCAUUUAGAGGUUUAUUUUGAACAACUGACAAUUCCAGGAAUGAUGGAAUAAAACAUAUGAAGUAGAAGGACUGGAACCUCCAGAAAAAAUACUUCAAGUUACCUACAAGUGAUCUUAGUCAGGCAAAUGAAAACAGUAGCCUAAAGUGUCAGUUUCAACCAGAAAAUAACAGCUAUGAUUUCUCAUGGCUCACACUCUUCCGAAACGACUCAGGAAGAGGCUGAGGAAGGCCAUGUUGUUUGUCUACCUGGGACUAGUAAAAAGAGAAAAGAAAGACAUUCUUGAUUUUGGUGACUAGAGUUGUAGAUGCUGGAAAGCUUUGUCACUAAAAUUGAUGAACCAGAUGUACGUCACCAGCCAAUCAUGCUGAUUCUUAAUGCCGGCACCAUGGCCUGGCACCGUCACAUUUUCCAAGGAACCUGCCGGAGCUCCGGCAGAAGCUGCUCGUUGGGCCGAUGGAGGCUCUUAGCUGGUAGGCCCUUCUUUAGUCACCACAGGAUGCCUGCCAUUCAUGAACAGAAAGGAGAGGAUGGGCUUUGAAUAAAACACAGGAUCUGGAAAAUAUUUGUGAGGCCAUUGGACUUCAGAUUUCAGUGUCAGGUGGUGUUGAAAGUUGAAGUCGUUUCUUGAAGAAGUAAACCUCUGCCACUUGGACUGUGCUCAGACAUUUCAUUGAUUUUGUUUAAUAAACAUUUUCUGGCUUUGGGAGGUGUCCCUCUUGGUGGAACACAAUGGAGUCUCACUCUGUUGCCUGGGCUGGAGUGCAAUGGCGUGAUCACUGCUCACUGCAACCUCCGCCUCCUGGGCUCAAGCAGUUCUCCUGCCUCAGCCUCCCAAGUAGCUAUAAUUACAGACGCAUGCCAGACGUUCAUUCACUCCAAGAAAAGUAACAGGCAAGGCAUGGGUUAAAAAGAAAAGAACAAGUUUUCCUCUGCUUAGCAGCUCACUUCAAGGACAGUUGUAAGAUAAGCUGUUUGAGGAGCCAAGGCCAAAGGAAUGGGCUCCAGACACCUCCCCCUUCCAGAGCAAGGUUGAAGGGAAAAAAAAAAAAAAAAAAAAAAGACAAAUUAUUUUACUGUUACUGUUUCCCCAGGCUUCUUAAGCAUGUAAAAUGUAAAUACAGACAUUUUACAAAUGUCUGUAUGUAGCCAGUUCUUGUUUUUCUUUCAAUGCAGCUACAAGGCCACCAGCUAUGCAAGGCCACAAGUUAUGCUAUACUAUAGAUUAUGUGAUCUGUCAUAUGAUUAGCUGCUUUGGUUUUAUUUAUUGUAAAGUCCACUUACAAAAACCCCACUCUGUUUAAUGUUCAGCUUUUUGGAUGCGAAUCCACUGAGCUGACGUGUACCUAAAAUAAACAAUCCUCCUGUACUCUCAUAA